UUAACUAUAUAUUGAGAAAUUUGAAGACAUCCGGUGGAUAUCUCACACAUUAUCCCAACGGACUUGAAAAAUUACAUGGUUACGAGUAACCGAUGGUAAUUGUGUCUUUUCGCUUGAAGGGCAUUUAGGUAAAUAUUCAUUCAUUCUACAUUCUUCUACACUUCUCUCAAUAGUCACAAACUUUUUCCUCCUCUCUCCACUCUACACACACGUCCUCACCCCCAGGCCUUCAAUCCUCACAAAUUAAUCCAAACAAGAGUAAUCAAUUCAACAUGCCAUGGUUCUAAGUUAAUCCUUACCAUUAUUAAACUCUAAUUCAAGCUUGAUUUCUCCUACCUUUCUCCCUUUAGUCAGCCGAACCUCCUUCUUCUUUUAAGGAAGUUGAUAAUCUUGCAAGGAUAGGGUGAUUUAAGCUUUGUAUGCAAGGGUGAGUGAAGUUGAUGAUAAUUUCUAUUUUGGUUGCUAAGAUCAAAGUUUGAAGUAAAAGCUCAAGUUGGGGAAGCUUAUUCUAGUAAGAGUUAUUUUAAACAAGAAAAGCGACUAUGAAGCUGACAAGAGUUUAUUUGAGACUUAAAUGGUGUAGAUAAUUGAGGAAAAUGUCAAGAUAUUUAGGUUACUGGACGACAUAAUGGUUCGUGAUGAAAAAGCAGAAGUCGCUGAACCAUACAAAGUUCAAGUUAGUGGUCUUAUUGCAGAGGUAUAUGAAGAGAAUUUUCUAUAUCUUAUUCAGAGGAAAUUUUUAUUAUUGUAAUUUUAAUGUAUUCAAUGCCAAGUUUAACACACAUGCUAGAUAUCCUAGGAAAUGUCUAGUAGGGGUGUUACAAAUGAAAUUGUGAA